UUCCGGUUGAUCCUGCCGGACCCGACUGCUAUUUGGGUGAGAAUAAGCCAUGCGAGUCGAAUGGGAUUCCUAAAUUUCCCAUGGCAAACUGCUCAGUAACACAUGAUCAACUUACCCUAUAGAGAAAAAUAACCUCGGGAAACUGAGGAUAAUAUUUCAUAAUUGAAUCGGCUUGGAAAAGUUUUUCAAUCAAAAGAAUAAGAAAAAUGGUUCUUAUUCGCUAUAGGAUAGGAUCGUGGACGAUUAUGGUUGUUGGUGAGGUAACGGCUCACCAAGCCGAUAAUCGAUAGGGGCCGUGAGAGCGGGAGCCCCGAGAUGGGUACUGAGACAACGACCCAGGCCUUACGAGGCGCAGCAGGCGCGGAAACUCCGCAAUACACGAAAGUGUGACGGGGUUACCCAAAGUGUUCAAUUUUGAACUGUGGUAGGUGAGUAAUGUCCCCUACUAGAAAGGAGAGGGCAAGGCUGGUGCCAGCCGCCGCGGUAAAACCAGCUCUUCAAGUGGUCGGGAUAAUUAUUGGGCUUAAAGUGUCCGUAGCCGGUUUAGUAAGUUCCUGGUAAAAUCGGGUAGCUUAACUAUCUGUAUGCUAGGAAUACUGCUUUACUAGAGGGCGGGAGAGGUCUGAGGUACUACAGGGGUAGGGGUGAAAUCUUAUAAUCCUUGUAGGACCACCAGUGGUGAAGGCGUCAGACUGGAACGCGCCUGACGGUGAGGGACGAAAGCCAGGGGAGCGAACCGGAUUAGAUACCCGGGUAGUCCUGGCCGUAAACGAUGCAUACUAGGUGAUGGUGCGGCCAUGAGCCGUAUCAGUGCCGUAGGGAAACCGUUAAGUGUGCCGCCUGGGAAGUACGGUCGCAAGGCUAAAACUUAAAGGAAUUGGCGGGGGAGCACCACAAGGGGUGAAGCCUGCGGUUCAAUUGGAAUCAACGCCGGA
rnacentral:rRNA from 1 species